UUAGCCAGCAGAAGAGAAAUGUUGACUAUUACUGUUGUGUAUUUACUAUGUGCUAGACAUUGAACUAAUGCUUUAUAUAUAUCUCAUUUAACUCUUAACACAUCAGGAAUCAAACUCAGGACCUUACACUUGCCAGGCAGGUGCUUGUGCCUCUGAGCUAUAUCCCCAGCCCAAUUCAUCCAUUUUAAACUGCAUGCUGUUCUUUUUUUUUUUUUUUUUUUUUUUUUUUUUCUCCGGUACUGGGAACCGAACUCACGACCUUGUGCUUGCCAGGCAGGCGCUUUGCCACUGAGCUAAAUCCCCAGCCCCCUGCAUGCUGUUCUGAGUAGCACAAUGAACUCUCUUGAUGUGAGUCAUCACUUAAUCCCAGAGUAUCCACAAUGUAUAUGCUGCCUGCCUGUUAAUCACUUAGAAGUCUUCUCAUCAUCAAGUCUACUAGCACAGCAUUACCGUGCUUGUGUGCACACCACCCUUAUUUACUUAAUUAUGGCUCCCAAGUGUAAGACAUGAUGGGGCAGUUCAGAUAUGCCAAUGAGGAACUGUAGUGGGCUUUCUUUAAGUGGGAAGGUGAGUGCUCUUGGCUUGCUAAAAAGAAAAAUAUGCCCCAUAUGCUAAAAUCUAUGGUAACACUGAAUCUUCUCUCUCUGAAAUUACAGGGAAGGAAAAAUAAAUACCUGCUAGCUUUGCUGCCACCUCUGAAACUGCAAGAGUUAACAUCACAGUAUGAUUACAGCUUACUAAGAUGGAAACAUUUCAUUAUAGGGCUUGGUACUAUCGAUAUUUGCAGGCAUCCACCGGGGGUACUGGAACACGGUCUGAGGUUAAGAAAAGGAAUAAUCAGCCUGCUGUUGGGAAUUUUUUUGUUUGCAUGGAGUCCAGGGA
rnacentral:lncRNA from 1 species